CUUGUACAUAUUCGGCUAUAUAAUAGGACAGAGUGCGUUGAUAAUCUGAAACAAACAACAAGAAGUAGUAAAGAUGACGAAACUUUUUGUUGCUCUCUUCACUCUCCUGGCCCUGUGCCUGGUAUGCCACUCUGCCAUGGCUGAAGGCAAUGAGCCGGCCAUCAGAAAGGCUCCUGAAAGCAGGGCAGCCUUCUGUCCUCCCAUCUUUUGCUUCGUUGACCCUUGCCAAGUGAAAGUCUGUCCAAGUGGAACCAAAUGCGUAGAACAAUGUUCAUGCCAAGCAGUUUGCAAGUGAAUCCUUGGAGUAGACAGGACCGACACUUAACGUAGACACAUAACAAUAUUGUGGCGAUUGGCAUGAUUGCUGUUGUGUAUUAUCUUCAAACGUUUGGUGCUCGAAACUGAUUUGGGAUAUUUGAGUUUUAAGCUGAUUUUAAAAGAGACGAUAUGAUUUUCUUUCAAGAGAUUUUUUACUGUUGCCUCGCGUGCAAUGUUUUGCAGUUAUUAUUAAAAAGGCACAUAUCACAUAUGUUA